CGGCGGCGGCGGCCCCGGAGCUGGGCGGUAGGGCUGUCAGCGACAUGGCAGAGGCGCUGAAUCAUUUAAAAAAAGAUUACAGAGCAAGAUUCUGCAAUGGAGAAAGUAAGCAACAGAUCGACAUUCUGCCAGGCCAAAAUGUACUAAAAAUUAUACAAGAUCGUUUUGAAAGUA